rnacentral:snRNA from 1 species
GUGCUUGCUUCAGCAGCACAUAUACUAAAAAUUGGAAUGAUACAGAGAUUAUCAUGGUCCCUAUGCAAGGAUGACACGCAAAUACAUGAAGAAAAAAUUGCAAAC